rnacentral:rRNA from 1 species
AUUGAACGCUGGCGGCAGGCCUAACACAUGCAAGUCGAGCGAGUGGCGGACGGGUGAGUUAUGUCUGGGAAACUGCCUGAUGGAGGGGGAUAACUACUGGAAACGGUCGCAAAUACCGCAUACUAUCGGAUGUGCCCAUAUGGGAUUAGCUAGUAGGUGGGGGAAAGGCUCACCGAGGCGACGAUCCCUAGCUGGUCUGAGAGGAUGACCAGCCACACUGGAACUGAGACACGGUCCAGACUCCUACGGGAGGCAGCAGUGGGGAAUAUUGCACAAUGGGCGCAAGCCUGAUGCAGCCAUGCCGCGUGUAUGAAGAAGGCCUUCGGGUUGUAAAGUACUUUCAGCUGGGAGGCGUUACCCGCAGAAGAAGCACCGGCUAACUCCGUGCCAGCAGCCGCGGUAAUUC